UCUUGUUGGAAAACCCAGUGCCUGUUAUU
rnacentral:sRNA from 1 species